CUAUGGGCGCAGCAGGCGAGAAACCUUUGCAAUGUGCGAAAGCACGACAAGGUUAAUCCGAGUGUCUCCUGCUAAAGGAGUCUUUUGUCAGUUGUAGAAUCACUGGUGAAUAAGGGGUGGGCAAGUUCUGGUGUCAGCCGCCGCGGUAAAACCAGCACCUCGAGUGGUCAGGAGGUUUAUUGGGCCUAAAGCAUCCGUAGCCGGUUGCAUAAGUUUUCGGUUAAAUCUAUGCGCUUAACGUAUAGGCCGCCGAAAAUACUGUGCAGCUAGGGAGUGGGAGAGGUACACGGUACUCGAUAGGAAGGGGUAAAAUCCUUUGAUCUAUUGAAGACCACCUGUGGCGAACGCGGUGUACCAGAACACGUUCGACGGUGAGGGAUGAAAGCUGGGGGAGCAAACCGGAUUAGAUACCCGGGUAGUCCCAGCUGUAAACGAUGCAGACUCGGUGAUGCAUUGGCUUGUGGCCAAUGCAGUGCCGCAGGGAAGCCGUUAAGUCUGCCGCCUGGGAAGUACGUACGCAAGUAUGAACUUAAAGGAUUGGCGGGGGAGCACCACAGGGGUGAAGCUGCGGUUCAUUGGAUUCACGCC
rnacentral:rRNA from 1 species